AAAUGCAUACAACAUGGUCAAAAGUGCAAAAGAGGAACUUGUUAAAAUAUUAAUUCUGCCCGACUUUUUAAGAGCGAUACACAGAAUUAUAUGCAUGGGGAAAAUUUUAUGCACGAGUGUUUAGGUAUCGCACUGUCAUCAUUUCCAAAUAAAGAAUUUUCAAGCGGGGCAAAAGGCGAAUCCAUUUGAAUUUGCAAAAUUCUACAUGAAGAAACAAGAAAAUGUAUGGAUAAGAUAUUUGAUUAUCGUAAAACAAAGAAUUUGGGAAACGUCCCUUGAUAAUAUGCUUUUCUCCUCACUGGACAAAUCGAGGGAAGCCAUCAACAGUGACUGUUCUACAUAUACAUUUGGAUCCAUAUUAUAUUCCACAAUUCAUUCCAAAUCUGCAGCCAAUCUGUGCCUUCUUUUAUUGCAUUGGCCACUUGACAAAUUAUAUGCUAGAAUAUAGUAGCCACUAGCCAGUAGGUAUAAUGCAUUAAUGCAUUAUUAAAAAAGAUUCUAAAGAUAUUUUGUGUUAACACCCAAGUUCAUUAGAAAUGUGAUAAGAGGUUAUAUAUGAAGUUGAAUACAUAUAUUACAAAAUGCUUACUUACAUGCAAACCUUUUGGACUUGGAUUAAAAUUUCAACAACAUGCAGAGACAGCGGAUGUUUUCCUGGUCUUUUAUUAACUGCUGACUAGUAGCAUCAGGCUCUAGAUGUCUUUGAAAAGGUGUUUUUAAAACACAAAUAUGUAUCAUAACCUGUUGGACAUAACCCAUGAGGUUGCAUGUAGAUGGCAAUAACACAAAGAACACUAAAUAUAAUUAUUGCCUAGCAAUCUCUGUAACCCCCUCCUCUCUAUCUAUGACAGUGUGCAACACCAUACAUGAAUUAUAAUUGUAAUAUGGUAUAAUAUAAUUAUAGUGUAUAUAUGAAUUAUAUUUCAAAUUAAAUUUUAA